GACCUGUUAGCGCAGUGGGGAGCGUGCCUGUGUAAUGUAUACACUUUGUCAUCAUCUUCCGGUUCGAGCCCGGGAUAGGUCG